UUAAUUUGGUCACAUCUGCCCAAACCUAGAAUACAUUUUGCACUUGUAUCAUAGGUAGGUCAUCUUAUAAAGUAUAUUUUUAAUUGUGCUUCGCGCAAUAUGCAUCUGUGCUCAGGGUAGAGUGUUGUCAUCAUUGGCUAGCUAACAUCACAAACUACGGUGUCGAGGACGCAUCAAAAAGAAGAAAAGGAAGUCAUCCUGGUGUCACUGUCAUACAAUGACUGUCUCACCUGUUAUAGUAGUUUGAGCCGAUAGAACUUACAUCGUUGUAAGAUACAUCAUUGAUUAUCGAGCAAAAAAAUAUCAAAAAUAUUACAUAUUGCUAUCUUUUUUUAUUUAUGCAUGUAAAUAAUUUUACAAACUACAUCAUUAUUCACCUUAUUUAAACGUACCGGUCUCGCCGGCUGUCCGCAUUACAACCUAACCUAGACGCUAUGCAGCUUAAUCACAUUCACUUUCAUGAUCAAUUUGACGAUCGACAGUCGCAUCGCGGGAAGAGAAAGAGAGAGAGACAGCAAUACACAAGUUUGUUUGUCUCGCCGUCCUGGGACACACCAUUCCUUACAUUGCAUUCAUUGCGUCCGGCGACGGCAACGGUGCCAAAAGUGGUCGCACUGUGUAUUCGCUUGACUUCACAUCCACGACCACGCCAACCAAACACGGCGACGACGAUGACACUGUGUUCUAGUUCUAAUUUGGCAACCGGCUGUCUAAGAUUUGGCCUACAUUUUUCGAAAGCCAAAAGCCAGCGUGUGUUGCUUCUAUUUAACAGCAUUUUGGGUGUUUUCGUUGAUGUUGGUGGAUGGUACAAUUGUUGGACGAACCGUUCCUCCAUGCUUUCUAUCUUCUCAGGCUCCACGAACCAGGACAGCUUAGCCUGUGCUGCUUUUGCUAGUUGAUUGGUGAAUGCUUUUGAAAACUUGUGUGUUUAAAAUUCCAACAUCGCGCGGGUGGAGGAGCGCAUAGCCCAACACACUGGCUGGAGAGUAAAUGUGACGGAUCGUUCUUGUUUCUUCCGUUACGCACUGCAAUGUACAGAAAGCAGCAACGGAUCGAACAGCAGUCGCCCUGUUCCAUCCCUCAGACUCAGGACGGCCUUAACAAUGUUAGCGAUCUAAUAAGCAAGUUCGAGGUACGCAACUAUCCUAUAAAUAGAGGACUGCUGCCCGAACUAUCAUCAGCCCGGCCGGGAUUCAUUGUCCCGGGUACGGAGUGCUACGAAGCGUCCUGCCGACCAUACGGUGGAUCAGCACGAAACGUGUAUCAACACUAUUCGCCGACUCAUUCUCCGCCACUUGGGCAAACGCGUCGCUACCGAGUGCCGAACAGUUUGCCGUACGAAUCGCAACACAACGAUACAGCCUCCCUUAGCGACGGUGGGGAUAGUGUACAGUCGGGCAGGAUGGACGAACGUCGGUUUCGGCAGCGCCCCAGUGGGCUUUACUACCAGAAUGGUUCACUGUCCUCGCUAAACGAGUCCGAUUACUACGAGGAGAUGUUUGAUGUUGGACCACGAGCGCCACCUACCGGUCGGUUCUAUCAGCCGCAGCAACAGCAACAACGUUUCGGCGAUGGUGCGCUUCUCGAGGAGGUGGAAGAAGCGCCACUAAGCAAGGAACAAGUCACUAGCCACCUGUCACGCUUCGGUGCCAUACUACAGAUGCUGUCCCGGAUCCCGUUUCCCCGCAUGUCCGUCACUGGCAUGGGGCUUUGCUCGCUCGUCGCCAUCUUCUUCUGUCCGCGUGCGAUCGGUUCGAAUAUAUUGUUUCCCGGUUUCAGACUACUGUUCGGUACGCUGUACCCGGCCUAUGCCUCGUACAAAGCCGUACGAACGAAGAACGUCAAGGAGUAUGUCAAAUGGAUGAUGUACUGGAUUGUGUUCGCCUUCUUCACCUUUAUCGAAACGUUCACCGACAUACUGCUGUCCUGGUUUCCGUUCUAUUACGAAAUAAAGGUGAUCGUUGUCCUGUGGCUUCUCUCACCGGCCACCCGUGGGAGCUCGACGCUAUACCGCAAGUUUGUACAUCCGAUGCUAACACGCCGAGAACAGGAAAUCGAUGACUACAUCAAUCAAGCCAAAGAGAAGGGUUACACCGCCGUGCUGCAGCUGGGCUCGAAGGGUGUUAACUAUGCCACCAACGUUAUCAUGCAAACGGCCAUCAAGGGGGGAGGUGGACUGGUGCAAACACUGCGCAAAAGCUACAGCUUGAGUGAUCUCUCCGAACCAGACACCCAGCGGACGCAGGAUGAGGUAGACGAGAUCGUUAACCGACCGCAGCGAGUGUUACGAUCGAAGAGUUCCCGAUCGUCCUCCGGCAGCCGGCAGAUGGAAAUGUACUUUCCCGAGGUGGAAAUUGCCGGUGCACCGUAUCAUGCGGCAGCUGCGCCACCAUACAACUACAUUCGUUCAUCGGAUGAUAUAAGCUCCGGUUACUCGAGUGCCGAACCAGGCCUAAGCCGAACGGCCUCGAUGAGCAAUACUGCGCGGCCGAGACUGAAAUCAAAAACACGCGAGGAUCAGGAUGAGUACGGUGCGGAUGUUUUUUACGAUGAGCAGGAACUCUUCUAUGCGGGUAUUAACCAUGAGGGCAUUCGGUCUGGCAACUCCAUUCCACAACGGGCUAGCAUCCACGAACUGCAUGGUGGCAGCGUUAGUUCACUGCCCGCCAUUACCCAGGCCGGACAUACGGUGGAAUCAGCAUCAUCAGCAAUUUACUCUAGCGGCACACAAUCCGCACAGCGCAUCGAACGCAGUGGCGAUGUUCCGACUGAGGUGAAUGAUAAAUAUAAGCUAUUCCUAGCAUGGAUGGAGGAACAGCAAAAACGCGAGAAGGAAGUUCAACAAGAAAGUACUGACAAGGUUUCUAGUAAUGAUGUAAAUACCGAGGACAGUAAUAUGGCCCAACGUGAAAUAGAAACUGGACGUGAAAAUGGGCGACCUUUGAUUGAGGAACAAAAACUAGUUGCUUCUGUGAAGCAAGAUGAAAUCGAAAGGAGUACCAACGAACUGAAACCAACACCGGACGAAAUUGUCACUAGAGCCGAUGGUCUUUCGGCUAUGGAGGAUAACUUUAUGGACACAAUUUCUGUAUCAUCGAACGAAAAUGAUGAGUUUUUGGAGGUAGAAAGCACACCAGAACCUAUGGCAGAAUUAAUUGAUCGCGAGAAGGAGCAACAACAGGAUACUGCGGAGAAUAAACCUUCGGAAGAAGUGAAGGAAAGGUCAGAAAGUGUCACUAUACCAGAGGAAACAGUAAUAGCUGAAUCCAACGUCGAUUCGGAUGUUGAUAGGGAACCAAAAAUGACAGUAGAAACGGUGGAAUUGCCUUCCGUAAUAGAAGAAAAGGAAGAACAACAGCAACCGAUUGCGGUUGGUGAGGAACAAACGCCUCCGGAACCGUCCAAUCUAAUAGUGUCUUCAAGCUCCAGCUCCAACUUAACAUCCUCCAGCUCAUCUCUUGCAGUGUCGGAAGGUAGUACCGGUAGUGUUAUUAAUCUGGCCAACGAAGGAACUGCAUCGCUGCAAGCAAAAAAACAUCCGUCCUUUGGGAAACAGCGUAAGGCUCCACCUGUUCCACCAGCGCCGGAAAUGAUCGUUAUACGAGAACCGCCCAAAACUGUUCCUACCGUUGUUUCUCCUUCUUCAACUCCAUCGAACUCUCGCUCGAGUGGUGGCGGUAUAAGCGAAAAAAGGUCCGCGAACUCUCGCACCAGUUCACCAUCAACCGUAGCGGCCAUUUCGAUGACAGCGUCGGAAAAGUCUAAACCGAAAAAGUUUAUGAGCUCCCUGACGGGUAUGUUUAAGGGCCACGGUGACACAUCGUCCUCAUCGACAUCGAGCAGCCGUUCGAACGAAUCAGCACAAUUACAACCACCGGUAGGACAUCCUAAAGAGACGGAAAUUUAAAAACCCCUCCCACUGGCGAUCCACAGCAUGGUGCACAAAAUUGGUUUAUCGUUGGUUUUACAUUUGAACGAUUCAAGGAAAAGAUGUCGGCAAGCUGUACGACGCUGCCUCGCACAAAGAAACCGGAAAAAGUCACCAAAACACGCUCGAAAACAGAAAAACCAACAGUUUAAUUGUGGUAGUGUGUUCCUGUUGUGUACUGUACGUUUGUUUUUCCAACUACCAAAUCUUUCAUUUUUCCGAGCUUGUUUCGCUGUUCGAAUCAUCGAAAAGGAAGGAUCAUGUAGCUAUUCUAUACGAAGCUAAAUUUUUAGUGUACGUAUUAUGUUUUUUUUUGUUCUUUCCUAGAACACAAUCCGAUGCGUACAUGUAUGUAUGUGUUUCUGUAUGUGUGUAUGUGUAGUUGAUCUGAAGUAGAAUGUGUUUUCUGACGCUGUAAAAUAGGAGCGGACAGGUUUUGUUUUUUUUUUGCUACAAUUCAAUAUAAGCAUUUAUAUAAAAGUAUAAUAGUGGAAAAGGUGGAAAGACUACGGAUAUUGUGCGCAUGCAAAUGGAUGCCAAAAUUUGUGCAAUUGGAUGAUUGGACAUUGCUUGUGAUGGAUAGGAAUUGUAGGUAUAUGAGGCGUAGGAGAGGACACAUGGAACGACAGGGAUGAUUACGCACAAAAAGCCAGAUAUUACAAUACCCGUUCAUGGUGGUAUCUGAUACUAGCUAAAUAUUUUCAUUAUCUUUUCUGAAAUUCUGAAAGAUGCCAUUUAUACUAGUGAAACCCUGUCCCUUUCAACUCAGAAUUAUCUCAUUAUUUCAAUCAUUUUAUUGUAUUCUUUCAUGUUUCAAACGGAAAAUGUGUUUUAGCUAAUGCACAAACAAACACAUACGAGCUUAAUGCUUAAUUUAUGUUUUCUUUUGUUUCAUUGUAUAUCUGCACAAUACUCUACAUAUCUGGCAAUGAGAAGCUAGUUUCUUUAUCGUGGUACUGUUUUACAUGUUUCCAGCUAGUUUAAUUUUAUUUUUUUUGUUCAAAUGGAAUGUAAUGUACCGUUGCUGAAUGAUAAGCAAAAAGAGAUGAAAGAUGAAAACAGAAUAAAACGAUCGUUACGAUGAUAUGAAGGAUAGGAUCUAUGGACCUAUAUGUGACAUUGAUAAAUAAGUGAUAUGUAUGACAUCACGCUUAGAUAGUGCAAUCGAACGAGAAUAAAGGCAAAAACAGAUGCGUGUUGGUGCCGUAAUAAGUGUGUACUGUCGGAAAAAACCAUAGUUAAGCAUUUCCUUCGAUGGUUUUAGCGAACUUUCUUCCGCACCGGGCAGCCCAGAGUAAGUGAAAGCAGUUUAGCAAAUUGUGCAGAGAGGCGAGAGAGAAAGAGAGAGAGAGUGGAUUAAGCUGACAAAUUCACCUUCGUCUAGAAUUAGGGCACGUACAUGUACGGCUGUUGAUGGGAAAUAUUAUACAUCUUAAAGACAUAGCAAGGGAAGGAGAUAGCUUUGUGUUAGGAAUUUCCUUCUAUCCCCAACAUGCUCUCCACUUAAAUCUAUCUGCCCGUAAUCUGGUGAUAAGAGUUACUACGCUCAAUAACUGGCCAAUAAAAUAUGGAAAAUAUUGAAUCGAAAACUAUUUAAUUGCAUUAAACAA